rnacentral:rRNA from 1 species
GAUGAACGCUCGCUACAGGCUUAACACAUGCAAGUCGAGGGGAAACGGCAUUAAGUGCUUGCACUUUUUGGACGUCGACCGGCGCACGGGUGAGUAACGCGUAUCCAACCUUCCCAUGACUAAGGGAUAACCUGCCGAAAGGCAGACUAAUACCUUAUGGUCCUCACUGACGGCAUCAGAUGUGAAGUAAAGAUUUAUCGGUUAUGGAUGGGGAUGCGUCUGAUUAGCUUGUUGGCGGGGUAACGGCCCACCAAGGCAACGAUCAGUAGGGGUUCUGAGAGGAAGGUCCCCCACAUUGGAACUGAGACACGGUCCAAACUCCUACGGGAGGCAGCAGUGAGGAAUAUUGGUCAAUGGGCGAGAGCCUGAACCAGCCAAGUAGCGUGCAGGAUGACGGCCCUAUGGGUGGUAAACUGCUUUUGUAUGGGGAUAAAGUCAAUCACGUGUGAUUGUUUGCAGGUACCAUACGAAUAAGGACCGGCUAAUUCCGUG